rnacentral:rRNA from 1 species
CCCAGACUCCUACGGGAGGCAGCAGUGGGGGAUAUUGCACAAUGGGGGAAACCCUGAUGCAGCGACGCCGCGUGAGUGAAGACGGCCUUCGGGUUGUAAAGCUCUGUCAAUCGGGACGAAGAAGAUGACGGUACCGAUGAAGGAAGCUCCGGCUAACUCCGUGCCAGCAGCCGCGGUAAUACGGAGGAUGCGAGCGUUAUCCGGAUUUAUUGGGUUUAAAGGGUGCGCAGGCGGCACGGCAAGCCGGCGGUGAAAUCGCGGGGCUCAACCCCGCCCAGCCGUCGGAACUGCCGGGCUAGAGUGGGCGAGAAGUGCGCGGAAUGCGUGGUGUAGCGGUGAAAUGCAUAGAUAUCACGCAGAACUCCGAUUGCGAAGGCAGCGCACCGGCGCCCUACUGACGCUCAGGCACGAAAGCGUGGGUAUCGAACAGGAUUAGAUACCCCAGUA